rnacentral:rRNA from 1 species
AGUGAACGCUGGCGGCAGGCCUAAUACAUGCAAGUCGAACGGCAGCACAGCAGAGCUUGCUCUGUGGGUGGCGAGUGGCGGACGGGUGAGGAAUACAUGGGAAUCUGCCCAGUCGUGGGGGAUAACGUAUGGAAACGUACGCUAAUACCGCAUGCGCCCUACGGGGGAAAGCCGGGGACCGCAAGGCCUGGCGCGAUUGGAUGAGCCCAUGUUCGAUUAGCUAGUUGGCGGGGUAAAGGCCCACCAAGGCGACGAUCGAUAGCUGGUCUGAGAGGAUGAUCAGCCACACUGGAACUGAGACACGGUCCAGACUCCUACGGGAGGCAGCAGUAGGGAAUAUUGGACAAUGGGGGCAACCCUGAUCCAGCCAUGCCGCGUGAGUGAAGAAGGCCCUCGGGUUGUAAAGCUCUUUUGUCCGGAAAGAAAAGCAAUCGGUUAAUACCCGGUUGUUCUGACGGUACCGGAAGAAUAAGCACCGGCUAACUUCGUGCC